GUGCUCGCUUCGGCAGCACCUAAUCUAAAAUUGGGACGAUACGCAGAAGGCCAGCAUGGCCACCAUGCAAGAAUGACAUGCCAAGGUGUGCAGCGUUUUGUAUUUUU
ensembl:snRNA U6 U6 spliceosomal RNA